rnacentral:misc_RNA from 1 species
GAUGAAGAACGCAGCGAAAUGCGAUAAGUAAUGUGAAUUGCAGAAUUCAGUGAAUCAUCGAAUCUUUGAACGCACAUUGCGCCCGCUAGUAUUCUGGCGGGCAUGCCUGUCCGAGCGUCAUUUCAACCCUCAAGCCCCCGGGCUUGGUGUUGGGGAUCGGCGAGCCUCCGCGCCCGCCGUCCCCUAAAUCUAGUGGCGGUCUCGCUGUAGCUUCCUCUGCGUAGUAGCACACCUCGCACUGGGAAACAGCGCGGCCACGCCGUUAAACCCCCAACUUCUGAACGUUUGACCUCGGAUCAGGUAGGAAUACCCGCUGAACUUAAGCAUAUCAAUAGCGAGGA